CCCCCCCCCCACCACCACCCCCCCGGAGAAAUCAAUCCCGGCUGCCAAGCGCAGAAAAUGGCCAAAGCGUUACAUGGCUGCCGCCGUCCUGACGCAGCCGACGUCCCAGGGACACGCUGCCGGUAACGCCAGACGAUAGCUCCGUUACCGCUGACGGACUAACCGUAGGGCACGGCGGUGACGGUAGGCCCUAAAUCCACACCUACGUGUAAAACUACUCGCAUCGGAGAUUUAAAAUGGUUUGGGAUUCGCUUCUACCCUGGGAAGGGCUCCUUCGGCAACCUCAACCGUGCGAUUGCUCGCUCUUCCGCUGGAAAACUUUUGUGCGAUAAGGAUGGGGAGGACCCCAAAUCCCAAAAGAGAGUCAAAUGAUUUGGGGAACAAGAAGCAACACCUCCGAGACGGGCAAGGUGGCCGCGGGGCCCAAGGUCGGAGCAGGGCAGCAAUCGGUUGUAACGCGCCUGGUGUUUCACUAGCGGCUGCUCAUCGCGGGAGAGAGGAGAGCCGAGCACGCCUUGGUACGCUGGAUACCGAGGACAUACAGGCUAUCUACCCUUCUUUUUUUUUUUUUUUUUUUUUUUUCUUCCCCCAAUCCCUUGUACGGGUCCGUUGGCCGCAGGGGAAACCCACGCAAGCACCAAACUGUUGUGCAAGGGUUCACCCCUCCGGAGCCCCAAAGUGCCACAAGGGUCGGCUUCUCCGACACCCCACGGGGUGUUGUCAUCCUCCUCCUUCUCUUUCUCCCCCUGUUCCUUUUUCCUCCAAAAGCUGCCCAGCUGUCUCAUCUAGGCUAUGAACAUCGGCUAAAUAUCACCCUUUUGCACAGAGCAUCUCUCUGACCUGUCGAGGGAAGUUUUGGUGGUUCCAAAGAAGCAGUAGAUGGGGAUAAGGAUGGUUUCCAGUGUUCAAAACCACUCGCUCUCCUCUGCCUCAUUAAAUUUUCAGCAGCAAUUAGAUACCCAAAGAACAUUUGCUCGUUUGAAAAAAAUCUCUCUCUUUUCACACGUUUCCUCUUGCACUCGAGAAGUGCCCACCGUGCUUUGGGUCACGAAUAAUAGGAGAUUGUGAACCCGGAUUUGUGCUUUUAAUUAUUUCACUCCCACACGUAGAAACAAACAAUUUUGGUAUAGGACACGGUUAGCGUUAGUGCGUUGACCCGACCGGUCCUGCAAUUUUAUGACUCCCAGAACCACCAUUUUUCCUAAAGCUUCUACUACCGGAGGCAUGUGAUUAAGCUUUUCUAUUCAUCAUCUCCAAGUUUCACAUAUAGGACCGUAUUGAACACUCACAGGACAUUUGCCCACACGGCCUGUGAGAAAUCAGACAACAGAAACCAAAGGGAAAAAGGAACUGAAAGUCAGAAAAUAGUUGCAACCUGCUAGAUUAAAGAUCCGAGACCUCCAGGAAGAACAGAAGGGAAAGGUUGUUUCCUCUCUUCACUGCUCCAGGUACACCAUUCUUGCACAUCUGCUUACCGUCUCGGCAGCCCUUUCCAAAUGGACACGGUCGGAAACACUGGCUGUACAGCUCCUAACCAUCUCCCUUCCAAAUCCCUUCUCUACACCAAUUUGCUGCCUGAGAAAUUGAGCCAACGUUCAUAGCCUAGACGAGACAGCUGGUCAGCUUCUGGAAGAAAAAGGAACGGGAAGAAAGAGGAGGAGGAAGACAACAAGCAAGUAAUGUAACCACAGUGCCUUGGUAUUUACAGGAUUGCCUGGCAAGAACGCUUUCAACUGCCAGUGGGGCACCUGGAGAGAAAAACACCGCGCCUGCCCUCCUGGGUCCCAACCCACCUAGAUGUUGGCAAUUUCAGUAAACAAUUUUAGUAAACAGUAACAUUCGUGAAGCUGUAUUGACCGCUUCUACAGGCAAAGCUAGAAGCAGCCCCUCUUAUUCUCCACUUACUGUGGUACAGGGUAAACAAACAAACUAAACCCCACCAAACUCACCACAUUUAAUUACACCACAAAGCAAACAGGAAGCUAGAGCAGUUUUAGGAGAGUUGAAACUAUUUGCUCCAUGUGGUUAACACUACUCAACAGGCGGGAAACCGCGCUUUUGCUUCAGCUAUGCAGUUGGUCUGCAAAUACAGCUGGUAACUUGCUCUUAUUUAAAAGUCAAAAGAGGUUUUUUUUUUGGCAACAAGAUCUGAAAUAGGAUCACAGCCACAUGAAGCGUACAACGCUGAUCCACGCCGGCUAUCACAGAGGUGAGCAGCAGAGUUCACCUGUGUAAGUACAGCCACAGGAUACAUUCUUUGGUGAGAAAUGCCUAUGGCCAAACCAAACAGUGCUUCAAGAUUUGAACAUGAGUUUCUUUUUGCAUCUUACACAAAGGGCGUCUGUGCUACAGCAUAAUGCUACACUGCUACAGGCUUUUCAUUCUUUGUUUGGAUGUCUUUAAACACAUAUAUGUGUUUGGGGCCCCUAGGCUCUCUUGCAAGCAAGCCAUGUGCACACUGAAGGGAAAUUAGGAUAAAUUAUACUAAGUAUUUUAACUGCACCUUACAGCCUCCAACUGCUGUACACAUUCAUUUUUGUAUUUUGAACUUUCCAGUUCUCCAUCUCCAGACAGGGCUGCCACAGCCUUACCAAUUACCAUAAACUGCAUAAACAGCUUAAUACUGCUAUAUUUUACAGAUGUUUAUUCAAGUAGGACACAACGUAAAUAACGAGGGGAAGACUAGACCUUCACCACUUUGAAAAUCAGUGCUAGUGCUCUAGGGAAGAUGUUGACUAAUCUAAACCAACUGCAGAUCCAAAAACUCCGAAACUUUGUUGGGGAAAUUCAGAUAUGAGUUCACAAUUUCAGGAAUAUAGCAUGACUAAUAAUUAAUAAUGAAUAGUAAAUGUUGUUAAUACGUUCAGAAUACAUACAUUUUCAUUUGUACUGCUUAAAACACAUAAAUAGCAUGUACUGUAAACUCUGCAGGCCCAUGCUUUUCCUCCUUUGUUCUCGUCACGCAAGAAGACCAAGGCACAGAAAUUAAUUGACCAAAAGUUACAUAGGGGGAUAGCAGAAAAAAAAACAGGUUAAAUCUCUGGUAUUCUCGCUAAAGGACUUGUUUUAUUAGGAUAAUGUAAAUUUACUUUUAGAACAUCUAUAUAUUCAGUGAAGAGAAGAAGAAAGAAGGAGAAGAAGAAAAGUGGAGGAAAUGGUGACUUAAAAAAACACUUAGGUCCAGAAUAAUUCUAGCAGGUUGGGAGGUGACUGGGCAAAGGACAGCAAGUGCAUUGGGACCCAUGACUGGUGGAUAUGUAAAGCAACGAAGGACAACCACCACCCAGGAAAGAGCUGCAAGGAAGUCGGUCACUGUCACGCGUCUCAGGUUCCACUUUCCCCCAGCUCAAGUCCCACAAAAAUUACAUUUCCCCUGCUAAGGACAAGGCAGGGGAUAAACACCAGGCGAGGAUAUUUAGGGGAAUAAAAAAAAAAAAAAAAAAAAUAAAAAAAAAAGAUCACAAGCACAUUUACCAGCUUUACCCAGUAUGGGUUGCAUUAACCUGGGGGGACCACAAAUACAGGGACAAGGGCCUCAGUGAGCACCCAGGUCUUCGCUGCCCCAGGCUGACUACCUCCUUCCACUGCUAACUUGUCACGUCCUGAAGCACACAUCCUUAACCAGCCCUGAAACAGAUGCUGUUUUUCUCCUAUUCUUCACCUACGCUCAAGCAACCUUCCCAGGAAGAAGAUAUUUCUCUGAAGGAAAAAAAUGCGGCAGUUAUUUCGUAGCUUGGACUUUGGGACAGCUGAGUGCACAGUGGUUAUAACGUGAAUUGUUUUUCUUUCAAGAACAAGGCUACAGUUUGCUUGUUGA